GAUGAACGCUGGCGGCGUGCUUAACACAUGCAAGUCGAACGGAAAGGCCCAAGCUUGCUUGGGUACUCGAGUGGCGAACGGGUGAGUAACACGUGGGUGAUCUGCCCUGCACUUCGGGAUAAGCCUGGGAAACUGGGUCUAAUACCGGAUAGGACCACAUUUUGGAUGGUGUGGUGGAAAGUUUUUCGGUGUGGGAUGAGCUCGCGGCCUAUCAGCUUGUUGGUGGGGUAAUGGCCUACCAAGGCGUCGACGGGUAGCCGGCCUGAGAGGGUGUACGGCCACAUUGGGACUGAGAGACGGCCCAGACUCCUACGGGAGGCAGCAGUGGGGAAUAUUGCACAAUGGGCGCAAGCCUGAUGCAGAGACGCCGCGUGGGGGAUGACGGCCUUCGGGUUGUAAACUCCUUUCGCUAGGGACGAAGCGUUAUGUGACGGUACCUGGAGAAGAAGCACCGGCUAACUACGUG
rnacentral:rRNA from 1 species